rnacentral:sRNA from 1 species
CAAGAGGUUCGACUCGAGCGAAGCGAGAGAACGUUGCGUCAGCAACGGCCCGCAGGGCGAGCCACGUAGUG